UGGGGAAUUUUGGACAAUGGGCGCAAGCCUGAUCCAGCAAUGCCGCGUGAGUGAAGAAGGCCUUCGGGUUGUAAAGCUCUUUCAGUCGAGAAGAAAAGAUUGUGACUAAUAAUCACAGUUCAUGACGGUAUCGACAGAAGAAGCACCGGCUAACUACGUGCCAGCAGCCGCGGUAAUACGUAGGGUGCAAGCGUUAAUCGGAAUUACUGGGCGUAAAGGGUGCGCAGGCGGUUCUGUAAGUCAGAUGUGAAAUCCCCGGGCUUAACCUGGGAAUUGCGUUUGAAACUACAGAGCUAGAGUGUGGCAGAGGGGGGUGGAAUUCCAUGUGUAGCAGUGAAAUGCGUAGAGAUAUGGAAGAACAUCGAUGGCGAAGGCAGCCCCCUGGGUUAACACUGACGCUCAUGCACGAAAGCGUGGGGAGCAAACAGG
rnacentral:rRNA from 1 species